rfam:Aedes albopictus isolate Foshan contig120450, whole genome shotgun sequence.
AAAACGGCCCUUCUCAGGGCCACUGAAAUGUUCUGAAAGAGUUAUAU